rnacentral:tRNA from 1 species
GAAUGAGUGGUGCAAUUGGUAGACACUAUAAUGUUCCGGUUAUGGUCGUAUCAUGCCUAAAGAUGAUGCUAAGUGCUAGUACGUCGAAAAUAAAGCCUGACACGCUGGAAGUUAUCGUACGGUGCGGGUUCGAUCCCCGCCUCAUUCA